GACGUAGGGCGCGAGCGUUGUCCGGAUUUAUUGGGCGUAAAGAGCUCGUAGGCGGCUUGUUGCGUCGACCGUGAAAACCCGGGGCUCAACUUCGGGCUUGCGGUCGAUACGGGCGGGCUAGAGUUCGGUAGGGGAGACUGGAAUUCCUGGUGUAGCGGUGAAAUGCGCAGAUAUCAGGAAGAACACCCGUGGCGAAGGCGGUUCUCUGGGACGGUACUGACGCUGAGACGCGAAAGCGUGGGGAGCGAACAGG
rnacentral:rRNA from 1 species